rnacentral:rRNA from 1 species
UACGUAGGGUGCAAGCGUUAAUCGGAAUUACUGGGCGUAAAGCGUGCGCAGGCGGUUCUAUAAGACAGAUGUGAAAUCCCCGGGCUCAACCUGGGAACUGCAUUUGUGAGUGUAGAGCUGGAGUACGGCAGAGGGGGAUGGAAUUCCGCGUGUAGCAGUGAAAUGCGUAGAUAUGCGGAGGAACACCGAUGGCGAAGGCAAUCCCCUGGGCCUGUACUGACGCUCAUGCACGAAAGCGUGGGGAGCAAACAGG